rnacentral:piRNA from 1 species
UCCUCGUGAUGGGGCCACGUCACGCUGC